UACGGAGGGUGCGAGCGUUAUCCGGAUUCACUGGGUUUAAAGGGUGCGUAGGUGGGCAGGUAAGUCAGUGGUGAAAUCUCCGGGCUUAACCCGGAAACUGCCAUUGAUACUAUCAGUCUUGAAUACCGUGGAGGUAAGCGGAAUAUGUCAUGUAGCGGUGAAAUGCUUAGAUAUGACAUAGAACACCAAUUGCGAAGGCAGCUCACUACACGAAUAUUGACACUGAGGCACGAAAGCGUGGGGAUCAAACAGG
rnacentral:rRNA from 1 species